CCUACGGGUGGCUGCAGUGGGGGAUAUUGCACAAUGGGGGAAACCCUGAUGCAGCGACGCCGCGUGUGGGAAGACGGUCCUCUGGAUUGUAAACCACUGUCCCCAGGGACGAAGAUGACGGUACCUGGGGAGUAAGCUCCGGCUAACUACGUGCCAGCAGCCGCGGUAAUACGUAGGGGGCAAGCGUUGUCCGGAAUUACUGGGUGUAAGGGGAGCGUAGGCGGGAUGGCAAGUUGGGUGUUAAAUCUACCGGCUCAACUGGUAGUCGCACUCAAAACUGCUAGUCUUGAGUGAAGUAGAGGCAGGCGGAAUUCCUAGUGUAGCGGUGAAAUGCGUAGAUAUUAGGAGGAACACCAGUGGCGAAGGCGGCCUGCUGGGCUUUUACUGACGCUGAGGCUCGAAAGUGUGGGGAGCAAACAGGAUUAGAUACCCGGGUAGUC
rnacentral:rRNA from 1 species